rnacentral:rRNA from 1 species
UACGGAGGGGACUAGCGUUGUUCGGAAUUACUGGGCGUAAAGCGCACGUAGGCGGAUUUGUAAGUCAGGGGUGAAAUCCCGGGGCUCAACCUCGGAACUGCCUUUGAUACUGCAAAUCUCGAGUCCGGAAGAGGUGAGUGGAAUUCCUAGUGUAGAGGUGAAAUUCGUAGAUAUUAGGAAGAACACCAGUGGCGAAGGCGAGUCCCUGGACAACUCCUGACACUGAGGCACGAAAGCUAGGGGAGCAAACAGG